UUAAUAAAUCACGCAAAUCCUUUGUGGCCAAAUUGGGUGACGGAAAGUGCGGUUUCUUGGGGGCAAGGGGCCCCCAGAAAAGCUGGAGAAACAACAUCAGGGUGAGAGUAAGGGGCCCUCACCGUUAUGGACAUUGAAUCUCAUGUCCGAGCCGGGCUUCCCCGUGGUGAAGUGAUCGAGAGAUGCGAAGAUCAGGACGAGGGUAAGGGGCCCCCGUCGUUAUGGACCUUGCUCUCUUUUGCCGGUGUGUGCUUCACCGUGGGCGAAGUGUGGCCGUGUGGACAGCACUUUCCGUCCCGCUUUCUUUAUUUCUUCUUGAAUGUAUAAAAUUAUUUACAAGUUGAUAAAACAGAACAAUAUAGAUAUGAUUACAAUUGAUUUCCUAUAUUUAAUUAAGUUUCUAUAGUUCCUGAUUAUUGGAUCAUCUUCUUCAUUAAAGGGUUGGGUGGGUGGGAUUUUCCUUUUAUGUUGUCUCGAAGACCGUUGAAACCAGAGUGAACUGAGAUGAGAUUUGGCUAGCUUUUGCUGAUAACUGAAGAAUGUCGGCUUAGCAAAAUAGGAUUAUAUUGGCAGUUUGAUAUUGACGCUUGGCAGAUAUUGCCCGGAGAGGAAAGCGGUUGUUUUCCCUGGUUAUCGUUACCGUUUAGGUUACAUAGUUUUAGGUAUGGAUGUUGCCUCUUAUUAAUCCCAAUUUAUUUUUUAAAUAAAUU